rnacentral:rRNA from 1 species
GACGAACGCUGGCGGCGUGCCUAAUACAUGCAAGUCGAGCGAACGGACGAGAAGCUUGCUUUUCUGAUGUUAGCGGCGGACGGGUGAGUAACACGUGGAUAACCUACCUAUAAGACUGGGAUAACUUCGGGAAACCGGAGCUAAUACCGGAUAAUAUUUUGAACCGCAUGGUUCAUAAGUGAAAGACGGUCUUGCUGUAACUUAUAGAUGGAUCCGCGCUGCUUUAGCUAGUUGGUAAGUUAACGGCUUACCAAGGCAACGAUGCAUAACCGAGCUGAGAGGGUGAUCGGCCACACGAGAACUGGAACACGGACCAGGCGCCUACGGGAGGCAGCAGAAGGGAAUCUUCCGCAGUGGGCGAAAGCCUGGCGGAACAACGCCGCGUGAGUGAUGAAGGUCUUCGGUUCGUAAAACUCUGUUAUUGGGGAAAAACAGAUUUGGAAGUAACUGUACACAUCUUGACGGUACCUAGUCAGAAAGCCACGGCUAACUACGUG